rnacentral:misc_RNA from 1 species
UACGAAGGGUGCAAGCGUUAUCCGGAUUCACUGGGUUUAAAGGGUGCGUAGGUGGGCAGUUAAGUCAGUGGUGAAAUCUCCGGGCUUAACCCGGAAACUGCCAUUGAUACUAUCUGUCUUGAAUAUCCUGGAGGUGAGCGGAAUAUGUCAUGUAGCGGUGAAAUGCUUAGAUAUGACAUAGAACACCGAUUGCGAAGGCAGCUCGCUACGGGAUUAUUGACACUGAGGCACGAAAGCGUGGGGAUCAAACAGG